rnacentral:rRNA from 1 species
UACGGAGGAUCCAAGCGUUAUCCGGAUUCAUUGGGUUUAAAGGGUGCGUAGGCGGAAGAGUAAGUCAGUGGUGAAAGCCUGCAGCUUAACUGCAGAAUUGCCAUUGAUACUGCUCAUCUUGAGUACAUUUAAUGUGGGCGGAAUGUGUCAUGUAGCGGUGAAAUGCAUAGAUAUGACACAGAACACCGAUUGCGAAGGCAGCUCACAAAACUGUAACUGACGCUGAGGCACGAAAGCGUGGGGAUCGAGCAGG